rnacentral:rRNA from 1 species
UACGAAGGGGGCUAGCGUUGCUCGGAAUCACUGGGCGUAAAGGGUGCGUAGGCGGGUUUUUAAGUUAGAGGUGAAAGCCCGGAGCUCAACUCCGGAACUGCCUUUAAAACUGCAUCGCUUGAAUCCAGGAGAGGUGAGUGGAAUUCCGAGUGUAGAGGUGAAAUUCGUAGAUAUUCGGAAGAACACCAGUGGCGAAGGCGGCUCACUGGACUGGUAUUGACGCUGAGGUGCGAAAGCGUGGGGAGCAAACAGG